CCUGUUGUCCCCUCGAUCUCCUCUUGAUGAUUCUGAUGUUGGCUUUGUCAAAUAAUGUCUUGAAUUUGUUGUUCCUGCAUAAACAAGCUAAGAGUACAAGUGGAACUAGUUAUGGAUAAAAUAUGUUCAUGUCAUGUCAUUUCCCCUUGCAACCGAGGCAUGUUGACGGUGUUUUGUAUGUGGAUUUCUAUGGUAUAUCCACCGUCAACAGUACGCCACUGUUUUACUGACCCUAACUAUAUAGUUGAAGACUCUAAGCAGGUCAGGACAAGAAGACAACGACGCAACCGCAACCAGAGGAGGCAAAUCAUCAAGGACGGAUGGGUAGACUAUGAAGGAGAAGUUGUAAGGUCUGAAGACAUACAACUUGAACAGAACUGUCCUGAGGAGACCGUAGCACCGAGUCAGGUGUAGAAAGAGAAGAUAGUUAUAUACGAAGAUGAAGCACCGUUGGAACCACCGACUACGCCAUCCAGCGAAUCCCAGGACGACUGAGAAAAUGGAGAGUCCCGUUCGGAGGACUUAAAAACACCGAACGCCUUGCCAAGAGGUAAACUUGGUAGUUAUCUUUUUCCUUUCAAUUAUUUUAGUUAAUCAGGUUCAUAUCAUCUUGAAAAGAAAAUAAAAAUGUUUAAAAUAGUAAGCCCCAUGUGAGUAUGCUCAUGGCAUAAAACCCAUAAGUACAUUCACUGUGGUGGCAUAAAAAAUGAAAUAAAUAUAUUCCUGUCCUAUAAAAAAUAAAAUUAUAAAAAUAAAAUUAUGAUCCUACUAAAGAGAGUAACAUUUAUUGAGGAGGCUCAACAUGAUAAAGGCUAGAUACUUAUGCUAACACUUAACUAGUUCCACAAAGCUUUGUUGUCUACUUGAGCUCCACAGAAUUCAAGGAUCAAAGAAGACUAGCAGACGGAGGACAUCCUAAUCGCUGUCAGGGUGCUGCUGACAUUCAAAUACACCUUCACCACUCGCUAGCUACAUUAGAAGAAACUACGUCAAAAUCCAGCUUGGGGGAGAACACCCCCAUUUAUCCAGCUAAGUAUUCUACUCACGUUUAUACUUUACUUAAAUAAUAAAAAGAUGCAUAAUCAUAAAAACCCAAAUAAAUAUUUUGUGCUUAUAUAUAUCUUUGCUUAGUUUGCUAAAUAAAUAAAUAAAUAAAGUUUUGCUAUGAACCCUCAUGAUAAGCUCUCACAUGGAAAUGAUGAAUAGUUGCUGUGCCAUGAUUAGUUCUCAAAAUUGAAAUCUCUCUCAAGUUUAGGCAUGACUGUUAUUAAUUAAGAUUUGCUCUAAACCUGAACUUGUGGGGAGAGUACUUGAUCUAAAGUCUAAGUCGUUAACGGAUACGAUAUGGGAAGGUUGAGCUGCUGUUUAUCUGUUCAUAGAGAUGCUAGAAUUCUGGAGAAUUUUAUCUUUGAAAAUCUUUAAAUUGUUACAUGAUGAGUUCCUGUAUGUUGAGAGUUUAAAUUCCUACCACAGCCAUAUAUACAUGCUUGCUAGACUUUGAGCCACACAUUUACUUUUUACUGCUUAUGAGCAUUGAGUGUGGUCAAGCUGUGUAGACCCUUAGGAGCUUGUCAUGUGGUUAAGUCAAGAUUCACUUGCACGUUCACUCAUACAUGCUGCUUCUACUCCGGAAGUACGCAUCCACAUAUAUCCACCCAUUUCCAUCUCCAGAAUCACCUAAAAAUAUUCUACUCCUAAUCCGGGAGAGAAUAGCCAAAAACAUUUCUGUUUUCCCCUUUUGAAAUAAAUGCUCAAGUUAUCUUGUUACUACCACUUGCUAUAUUAUCUCAUGAGAUGAGUGCUCUAAAAAAAAGAGAGGAAAAAAAAGAAAAGAAAAAAAAGUAUACGAGGAAAUAAAAAGGGGCAAGUGCCCAGAACCUCGAAAGAAAGAAAAAGUGAGAAGAGAGGUAAAAAUGGACAAGUGUCCGACAGUAGAAUUAGGGGUACAAGAUACCCACCUGAGAGAAAAGAAAAAAAAAUAUAGAGCAUCUCAUUCUCCUCAAAAAGUUUCAAAAGAGCAAGAAAGGUAUGUAUCCCCUCAAAAGAGCAAAAGUAGACUUAGACUUUCACCAUUGUUAUCACCAUCAUCACCUUACACCAUUCAUUCGCCACACAUGCACAUCUUGAUUUGACUUAUUGACUUGUUCUUCUGGAUCCAUGGUUUGACUAUGCAAUAAAUGUCUUGUAAGUAUGUAUUAGCUGUCUCCCACCUAUGAGCUCCAGAUAUCAAAACCUUAUUAGAGUAGGGUGAGAGAGAAGGCAAUGUCACUAUGCCUCAUACCAAAAAUACCACAUACUUUGAGAGAAGGCAUACACCUUUACUGCCUUGGUAAGGAUCCAGAAAUACCACAAAAGAGAGACUAGAGAGAGUCAUACAAGGAAUCUCUGAGUUUUAUUUGAAAAUCUGCAAAAACUCCAGAGCUAUAGUUAAUCGAAGAACAAGAGACAUGGUGCUUGACUAGACUGUUCUAUCUUUUAACUACUCAAGACAGAAGUGACGGUUACAAGUUCCAUGGUGAAAGGUAAAUGAGUAAGUUUUAAGUCUUAACAGUUUACUCUAACCAGAGAUGAGAUCUUGUUUAAACGCAUGUGUAUCUUUAAGUUAUGAAACCACUGCAGAAACUCUUGAGUUCAUCUUUGCUCAGGACGAGCAAAGGUUAAGCUUGGGGGAGCUUGUUGACGGUCCUUAAUGCUCACAAUUAACCAUCAAUUAAUCAUGGAAAAGGAUCCAAAUGCAACCAACACCUAGACUUAGGGUUUUAUCUGAUAGAAUUCCACGAGUUUUGGUGUUUGUCUAUUUCUGCAGGGGGUUAUCAGGAAAUAUGAAAGAAAGGCCCACACGUCGGGUUUACAUAGAGAUAUUAAUGUGUCGCGUAAUUUUCUAUCAUCUAGAAGAAUCCAGAAGCCACGGGAACGAACGGGGAGGCAAUCGGGCUCGGAGGCAGGGCGCCCGCCCAACUCUCCUGGGUGCCCGCCCUUAGCCAGAGUCCAAUCAGGACUCUCUUUCGGGAUAUUGCUCCACCGACCUAAAGGAUCAAGGAUAACCGUUCAAUCAAUGUCGGUUUAAUCCAACGGCCCAGAUUCACUUGAAGGGACUAUAAAACCAAACCCCCCUGGCCCCUGGAGAUCAUACCUCUUUUACAGAAUCAAAGCUAGGGUUUCAAUUCUUCAUCCA
rnacentral:lncRNA from 1 species